GCUUAACACAUGCAAGUCGAGCGGGCGUAGCAAUACGUCAAGCGGCAGACGGGUGAGUAACGCGUGGGAACAUACCUUUUGGUUCGGAACAACACAGGGAAACUUGUGCUAAUACCGGAUAAGCCCUUACGGGGAAAGAUUUAUCGCCGAAAGAUUGGCCCGCGUCUGAUUAGCUAGUUGGUAGGGUAAUGGCCUACCAAGGCGACGAUCAGUAGCUGGUCUGAGAGGAUGAUCAGCCACAUUGGGACUGAGACACGGCCCAAACUCCUACGGGAGGCAGCAGUGGGGAAUAUUGGACAAUGGGGGCAACCCUGAUCCAGCCAUGCCGCGUGAGUGAUGAAGGCCCUAGGGUUGUAAAGCUCUUUUGUGCGGGAAGAUAAUGACGGUACCGCAAGAAUAAG
rnacentral:rRNA from 1 species